rnacentral:tRNA from 1 species
GACCGCGUAACUCAGUGGUAGAGUGCCACCUUGACAUGGUGGUGGUCACUGGUUCAAAUCCAGUCGUGGUCACCA